rnacentral:rRNA from 1 species
GACGAAGGGGGCUAGCGUUGUUCGGAAUUACUGGGCGUAAAGCGUGUGUAGGCGGCCACGUAAGUCGGAUGUGAAAGCCCCAGGCUCAACCUGGGAAGUGCACUCGAUACUGCGUGGCUUGAGUAUCGGAGAGGUUGGUGGAAUUCUCGGUGUAGAGGUGAAAUUCGUAGAUAUCGAGAGGAACACCGGUGGCGAAGGCGGCCAACUGGACGAAUACUGACGCUGAGACACGAAAGCGUGGGGAGCAAACAGG